rnacentral:rRNA from 1 species
UACAGAGGUCUCAAGCGUUGUUCGGAUUCAUUGGGCGUAAAGGGUGCGUAGGUGGCGCGCUAAGUCAGGUGUGAAAUUUCGGAGCUUAACUCCGAAACUGCAUUUGAUACUGGCGUGCUUGAGGACUGGAGAGGAGACUGGAAUUCAUGGUGUAGCAGUGAAAUGCGUAGAUAUCUGGAGGAACACCGGUGGCGAAGGCGGCAUCCUGGACCGGCAUUGACGCUGAGGAGCGAAAGCCAGGGGAGCAAACGGG